rnacentral:tRNA from 1 species
CAAAAUGUAGCUAAAUUAACAAAGUACCUCACUUACACCGAGGAGAUAUCCGUACAAUUCGGGUCAUUUUGA